rnacentral:tRNA from 1 species
AAAUAAGAAGCAAAUUGCAUUUAAUUUCGACUUAAACAGAAGAGUAAGAAUACUCCUUAUUUA